UUCAUCACCUCUUCAAAAGCAUAGUCAUUAUUAGACCUACUGCUAGAUUUUGUCCUUCAAUGCAUUACUGAAGUAGCAUUUACUGCCCAUAUCGCAGAUUCGUUUAUAUUUUGGUGACUAUAUUUCAAUUUGAUCGAUUCCCUUUGCACUUAUUUUAGGCACUAGAAACAGCAUUCUGAAGAGCAGUCCACAGGCUUGGCCAGCCUGCCAAAGGAGUGAGCUCACGGCACACAGAAAGGUUAAGAACCCAGAGGAGUGGCCAGCAGAUGGGAGGUUCUGAAAACACAGGCAUGUUCAGUUCCGUUUCAACAUCCUUUUCAGAAGACACAGAGCCCUUUGUUGCUCAUGUCUGUUACCCUGGACAGCUGAUCAAGGGCCAACAGAGAACAGGAUCGAGACGUGGCAGGAGACAUAAAGUAAAGUCACUGCUGACAUUCCCCACCACCAUCCCCCGACACGUGAUACAACCGAAUCUAAGCACUGUGCCUCAGUUUCCCUGUUGGAAAGUUAACGACUGCUGCUCCUGAACACAGACCAGUCUGCAGUCCUGGUUGGAUGC
rnacentral:lncRNA from 1 species